rnacentral:rRNA from 1 species
GACGAACGCUGGCGGCGUGCUUAACACAUGCAAGUCGAACGGAAAGGCCCUGCUUUUGUGGGGUGCUCGAGUGGCGAACGGGUGAGUAACACGUGAGUAACCUGCCCUUGACUUUGGGAUAACUUCAGGAAACUGGGGCUAAUACCGGAUAGGAGCUCCUGCUGCAUGGUGGGGGUUGGAAAGUUUCGGCGGUUGGGGAUGGACUCGCGGCUUAUCAGCUUGUUGGUGGGGUAGUGGCUUACCAAGGCUUUGACGGGUAGCCGGCCUGAGGGGGUGACCGGCAACAUGGGACUUGGGAUACGGCCAGGACCCCACCGGGGGGAAGCGGUGGGAAUAAUGCCAAAUGGGGCGGAGGCCGGAUGAAGAACCGCCGGGUGGGGAAGGCCGGCUUUGGGGUGGAAACCCGUUUCGGCCUGUGAGGAGGCGUAGGGAAGGUAAAUGGUUAAAAAGCCACGGCUAACUAAGUU